rnacentral:rRNA from 1 species
UGGUGGAGUGAGUUGAGACACUGACCUGCUAACCAGCGUCACACUGCCGCUGUUGUGUGGCAGACAUCUUAGAGGAACUCUGUGUGCCCAGCAUGAAGAAGCUUGAGGCAAUAACA